AGCGAACGCUGGCGGCAGGCCUAACACAUGCAAGUCGAACGAAGUCUUCGGACUUAGUGGCGGACGGGUGAGUAACACGUGGGAACGUGCCUUUAGGUUCGGAAUAACUCAGGGAAACUUGUGCUAAUACCGAAUGUGCCCUUCGGGGGAAAGAUUUAUCGCCUUUAGAGCGGCCCGCGUCUGAUUAGCUAGUUGGUGAGGUAAAGGCUCACCAAGGCUACGAUCAGUAGCUGGUCUGAGAGGAUGACCAGCCACAUUGGGACUGAGACACGGCCCAAACUCCUACGGGAGGCAGCAGUGGGGAAUCUUGCGCAAUGGGCGAAAGCCUGACGCAGCCAUGCCGCGUGGAUGAUGAAGGUCUUAGGAUUGUAAAAUCCUUUCACCGGUGAAGAUAAUGACUGUAGCCGGAGAAGAAGCCCCGGCUAACUUCGUGCCAGCCGCCGCUGUAACAC
rnacentral:rRNA from 1 species